UUCUCAGAAGUUGUGAGUAAAACACUGGUUGUGAAGUUUAGUGAUGAUGGUAGCAAGAAAUGAAGCUGGUUUAACCUGAUUUUAAAGGGGGCUUUAUGCCUUUUAUUGUGCUGCUGUCUCUUAACUUCAAGCCCAUUCUCAUCACUCUGUUUUAUAAUAAUCUGCAAACCAUAUUACUGCUUUGCCACCUUGUCCUCUGUGAGGAUCUACCAAUAAAAGAUGCGAGAGGGAGACUGCACUUCGUCAACCUGGCAGUGGCAGUUUGUUCCAGAAGCAGCGGUUGAAUCCAGUUUGCAGUUUUUCUAAUGUGCAGAACCAGCCUUGUUGCUUUGCCUCAGAGACACUAGUACCAAGCAGCCGGUGAUUCCUCCUAAGAGGUCUGGGUCUUAGUCCUGCGGGGCCCCUUGUCUGAUGUCAGGAAUCAUCAUCAUCCCUCUCCUCAUAGGUUGAGUUUCAGCUCAGCAGGGGCCCCUUUUCCAAUCUGUUCAUGGUAAAGAAGGGCACACCAGUAUAAAACAAUACAAAAGUCUCAGUAAAGUGACCAUGAUGGAGACCCCAAGAAAGGGUUUUUUGUUGUUGUUAUGUUGUUUUGUUGUGUUGUUUUGUUUUGUUUUGAGACGGNNNNNNNNNNNNNNNNNNNNNNNNNNNNNNNNNNNNNNNNCUCUGCCUCCCGGGUUCAAGUGAUUCUCCUGCCUUGGUCUCCCAAGUAGCUGGGACUCCAGGUGCAUGUCACCAUACCUAGCUAAUUUUUGUAUUUUGAGUAGAGACGGGGUUUCACUAUGUUGGUCAGGCUGGUCUCGAACUCCUGACCUCAGGUGAUCUGCCCGCCUUGGUCUCCCAGAGUGCUAGGAUUAUAGGCAUGAGCCACCACGCCUGGCCUAAGGGUCUUUCUUGAGAUAUAGGAGAGUUAGAGAGGAUUUGCUGAUGGGGAGGUUCUCUGUCUGCUGAGGCUGGGGUGGAAGAGAUGCCUUAAGGGGGACAAUUUGAUUCUGCCCCCUGCCCCCAUGUCUAAACAAUCAGACCAAGGGAGAAAGCAGUAUCCCCAAAAGGGCUUUGGAAUACGUCACUCUUCAAUCUGUAGGCUUAUGGCUCGUGGGUCAAAUCCCACCCACAGUCUGUAUGGCCAGUGAACUAAGAAUGGAUUUUGCUUUCUAAAAAUUGUAGGACAAUAAGUCAAAAGAAGAAUAUUUUGUAACCUAUGAAAAUUUUGCAAAUCAAAUUUCAAUAUCCAUAAAUGACAUUUUAUUGGAUCACAGCCACACUAAUUUGUUUCAGUAUUGUCUGUGGCUACUUUUAUGCUACAAUGGCAGAAUUUAGUAGUACAAUAGAAACUGUGUGCCCACAAAGAUGAAAAUAUUUACUCUCUGGCCUUUUACGAAAAAUGUUUGUGGAUCACUGCACAGAAGAAGGAAAGGAUGGAGUCUAAGAAGGAGGUAGAUUGGGAUUAGCCUUUCAGGGAGAUCAGUUAAGAUGCCAAAAAUGGAUAAUGUGUUUGUGUGUCUUCUUAGCGGCCCCUCUGAGAGACUGUGUAAUAGGUUUGUCAGGAUGCUAGGUAUUUUCCUCAGUGGGGAAAUAAAAAGAAAUGGUGAAAAAUCAUUUAUCUGAAUUUUGGGUAGAUUCUCUUGGUGGGAAAAAUAGUUUGAAGUGGAUACAAGACUAUAUUUUUUCAGCUGGCCAGGUGCACGGUCACCUGUGGGGCACAUAGGCUUUCAAAGAUAGUAGCACAUAGGCAGCGUGGCUCGGAGAGAGUUAACGGUAGAAUCAGCAGGAUGGUGAUGGAAUGUUGUAUAGUGUGACGGUCCUGGGGGAACUCUUAUUCCUCAUCACUGACUUUCCCUAGAGGAGGGGAGGCUCUGCUCCUCUUUCUAAGACAGUGAACACUUCUGGUUUCUUUCCCUACUUCUAUCCAUUGGGACCACUUUACCAGUGGGUGGGGCUACCUUGCUUUCAAAACAAGUUACAGGCUCAGCUCUGGUUUUCUUUCUCUCUUGCCUGUCUCAUGGAUCACUAAGAAGGGUAGUGGGCUUUAUUCUGUUUGCUGUCCCAAGAUGGUGAGAUUCUGGGGUAAGAAUCUGUUUCGGCAUGCUUUCCAAAGGCAGCCCCGGAAAUUGAUCAUUCUCUCCAUUCCUCUGACUUUAUCUGUGAGAUAGGCAUUAGUCUGGCUGGGUAUAUACAGUUAGAUUUGCAGAUCUACCUUUCGCCACAGGUAGGUCCCAAGGUGCACAUUCACAGAGAGGUAGGCCCUCGUCUCAUUUUUAGUGUAGUUUUAGCAGGGAUUUUGUGGGAUAUUAGACCCUUAUAUGACUCAUAAUAAAGAUGAUAUGCUAAUGAGAUACUCUUUGAUUCCUUGUGUCUGCGUUCAGCUAAUUAUAACUUGGAGAAGAUGGGUGAUUGGUGUUCUGUGGCCUUCAACAUUCAUGGCCAUGAAUCUUCAGAAAAAUUGUAAAUAUAAUACACUUGGUGUUUGGGUUCCCUCAGGAAGAUGAUGAGGGACAGAGUUUGUGCCAUGUGGCCAUGUGGAGAAGAACUUUAAUGUCAUGCAGGAAGCAAGAACCUGCUCUUCUAUCCAGAUGUCUAGUAUUUUCACAUUCUGUAACCUGAAGCUGUUGACUUCAUAGUUCUAGUGAUGCAGAGUAACUUCAGAACUUGAGAUGGAGAAAGUAAAUCUACUUCAUAAAUCACAGGGUUAUCUUCUUAUUUCAGCUCUGUUGAUAACUUCAUGUUAUAAGAUAUUAUCUUUUUCUCUUCUUCACUGAAAACAGACCUUGGUAUAUAAUUCUAAGAUUGAUCUGGAUUCAUGGUCCUUCAAUUUCUUUUAUGUUUCCAAAGACUUUUGUGUGUGUGUGCAAACACUUCUAUACAAAAACUAGUAUUUGCUUCACUUCGCCCUUCUAAUCUCAACCCCUAGUCUCUUCUUUUAUUAAUCAACUCCUAGAAGAGUGACUUGCAGUAUGUGUAUAUUAGAGCAAUAAUUCUUGCCAAAAAGUAUCCAGAAGUAGAUUUAUAUCAGAAUUUGAAAUAUAAGGGAUUCAGAGAUUCUGCAGGACUUAUAAUAUCUUCUUACAGUGUUACUUCAGAAUUAAAUAAAAUGAGAGAAAGUAAAGGGUAUAGUAUCAUUCCUGGCACAAAAUACACAUGUACUAUUAUUAUUAUUUUAUUUUAUUUUAUUUUAUUUAUUUAUUUAUUUUUGAGAUGGAGUCUCGCUCUGUCGCCCAGGCUGAAGUGCAGUGGCGCGAUCUCCGCUCACUGCAAGCUCCACCUCCUGGGCUUACGCCAUUCUCCUGACUCAGCCUCCCGAGUAGCUGGGACUACAGGUGCCCGCCACCAUGCCCGGCUAAUUUUUAGUAUUUUUAGUAGAAAUGGGGUUUCACCAUGUUAGCCAGGAUGGUCUCGAUCUCCUGACCUCAUGAUCCACCCACCUUGGCCUCCCAAAAGUGCUGGGAUUACUGGCGUGAGCCACCAUGCCCGGCCUACAUUUGCUAUUAUUAAUACUGUCCAUUGAGAAUAGCAAAGAUGAUUUAAAAACCCGAAAAAAUAUAUAUUUAUUUUAUAAUUAAAAACAAAAUAGAGGGUGGCCGAGGCAGGUGGAUCAGUUGAGGUCAGGAGUUUGAGACCAGCCUAACCAACAUGGUGAAAUCCUGUCUCUACUAAAAUACAAAAAUUAGCUGGGCGUGGUGGUGGGCGCCUCUAAUCUCAGCUACUGGGGAGGCUGAGGCUUGAGAAUCACUUGAACCUGGGAGCAGAGACUGCAGUGAGCUGAGAUCGUGCCACUGCACUCCAGUCUUGGCAAAAGAGUCAGACUCUGUCUCAAAAAAUCAAAUCAAAUAAAAACAGAAUAGAAAUCUCAAAUCUAUCUCCAUACUUAAUUUCUAGCUUCAGUGAUGCAAAUGACUUAAUGGACUAAGACCACGUUUCAUCACAGGCAUAGAAUAUUAUGGCUGGCAAGGCCAGUGGAAGGCAUCCGACAUAACUUCUUCAUUUUACUUAUGCACACACUGAGAUAGAGAUUGUCUAAUUGGUUCCUAAGAUUCUAUCACUCUUUUCACUAUUCACAGAUGCAAAACAUCUUGAUGAAAUCUGGAUGUUUAAAAGAUCUGGAUAUUUAUUUUGGCCUCUGUAGAUUUUUAAAAGAAUGUUUUCACUUUUAUUUUGCAUGUUAGUCCCCAUGUAGCCAAAGCCUUUAUCCUCUUCAACAAAAAGCUAUGAGGUGCAGUCACUGCAAUGUCUACAGAAAAACAAAGUUAUGAGGUCACUAAAACCAAAGAGUUUGAAGCUGAAAAACUGGCUUUGAUUAUCGUAUGUCAGUAGAAUGCCCGAACUGUGGAACUGAUUCUUAGAGUAAAUCAUUACUAAUGGUUUUCCCAUUAGGGGUGGGGGUUGCAUGAUUUCGAUAAGAUGACUCGGGGCCUGCAGUCACCAACUCAUCCGUGAUUAAAUGUUGCUUGUGAAAACUGUGGGUGAUUUUCAGUUCUGACCAAUUGAAUACUUACAGUAUAUUCUGGGAAAGGUGUGUUUUGCUUAGGUGGCAACAUUAGGAAAAAGGAAGAAGGAUUUCCCUAUGCCAUUUUCAAAAUGAAUGUGAUGGCUCCUUAUCUCUUGUUUCUUUCAUUGGUCUGCUAGUCCCAUUAUGUCAGGGAUUAUAUUAUUAUAACAUAGAUUAUCUUAUUAAAACAGAUUCUAACACAGAAAACAAAACCAAAAUGAAUUAAAAAACGACACUAGCCAAAAUCUACAUACUUCAGGAAACCUCCAAUAAAUAGCCAUAAUUUACCUAAUAUUUUGAAUCAUUGAAAUGAAAUCUCAGAACACAAUGAAUUCCAUAAAAAUGUUUUAAUAUACUCUUGUUAUUUAUCUCUAAAUGCCUUUUAAGUUUCCCCCAGUUAUUUAUUUAAAAUCUGCCUACAGCAGACAGUGCCAGAUUUGAGCCUUGGCUCAGUUACUUUCUAUCCCUAUUUUGCAGGUAAUCAGUUUCCUCAUCUCCAAAAUAGGGAUGAAAAUGGUCCUAUCUCAUGCAAUUGUUGCAAGGCUUAAUGAGAACAUGGAAAGCACUUAGCAUAGUGUCUGGUACAUAGCAACUACUCAUCAAAUGGAGGACCCGAGGGGGGCAAGGACUCUGUGGGGGAGUCGGUGAGAGACUAUGGGGAAGGACCAGGAGCUGCUGGAAGCUGCUCGCACUGGAAAUGUGGCUCUGGUGGAGAAACUCCUCUCUGGCAGGAAAGGAGGGAUCCUGGGCGGUGGAUCCGGACCCCUGCCCCUGUCUAAUCUGCUAAGGUAAGGACGGGCACCAGCUCCGGGGUUGGCACACCUCAUUAUGCAUUGUGAUGGAUAUACGUCCUCCUCCUCACGGUUAUUGCACCUGGUGGCUGCCAGCGAUUCAUUCUUAAAU
rnacentral:lncRNA from 1 species